AGCGAACGCUGGCGGCAGGCUUAACACAUGCAAGUCGAGCGGGCAUCCUUGUGGUGUCAGCGGCAGACGGGUGAGUAACGCGUGGGAACGUGCCCUUCGGUUCGGAAUAACUCAGGGAAACUUGAGCUAAUACCGGAUACGUGCGAGAGCAGAAAGGUUUAUCUGCCGAAGGAUCGGCCCGCGUCUGAUUAGCUAGUUGGUGAGGUUAUGGCUCACCAAGGCGACGAUCAGUAGCUGGUCUGAGAGGAUGAUCAGCACACUGGGGCUGAGACACGGCCCAGACUCCUACGGGAGGCAGCAGUGGGGAAUAUUGGACAAUGGGGGCAACCCUGAUCCAGUCAUGCCGCGUGAGUGAUGACGGCCUUAGGGUUGUAAAGCCCUUUUCUCCGGGACGAUAAUGACGGUACCGGAGGAAUAAGCCCCGGCUAACUUCGUG
rnacentral:rRNA from 1 species